rnacentral:lncRNA from 1 species
AUGCUAACAAGAUUAAAAAAAUUGAAAUAGAGCUUGAAGAUAUAAAAGAAAGUUUAAACUUCAACGAACACGUAAUUGAUAAAAAGAUUGAAAGUAACAACAAACAUUUUUUAAACAAAAUCGACAUCAACAAACAAUUAGAGAAAGAAAGAACUAAUAGUGAAUUUUUAAACGAAAAAAUCCGUAACCUCGAAGUUAGAUCGCGGAGAAAUAACUUAAGAAUUGAGGGAAUAUGUGAAGACGAAGUAGAAUCUUGGGACAAAACCGAAGAAAAAGUUCAUUCCUUUUUUCUACAAAAACUGGGUAUAAAGAGUAUUGAAAUUGAACGAGCACAUCGCACUGGGCCAAAAAAAGAUGGACGUUCGAGGGUGAUAGUUUUAAAACUUCAACAAUACAAAGACAAAGCUAAAAUUUUAAAAGAAUCAGCUCGUCUCAGAGGAACAAACAUUUAUGUAAACGAGGAUUUUUCUCGCGAAACAGUUGCAAUCAGAAGAAAACUAUUUGCGAAAGUAAAAGUACGACGUUUAAACGGUGAGAAUGUUUCGGUUCGUUACGAUAAAAUUAUUUCUUUUAAAACUAAUAUUUUAAAACGAGGAAACGGAAUAUUAAAUACUAAGGAUCAUUAAAGCAAACAAAAACAAAGAUUAUGGAUUUAUCUAUGUAUGGCGAAAAUUUGAAUUUCAGCAGUUCUGAUGAAAUAAGCUCUGAUGAAGAAAGCGGAAAUAUAAAAGAAGUCUAUGAACAAAGUUUGAGUAUCAUUGAAAAUAAUUGUUUACCUACAUGUGAUAUUGUUUAUGAAGGAAAAUAAAAUUAAUUUAUCAUUGUAAUUCACAUGAAGAAGCAUUAAACAGUGUGAAAAAAUAUGAGUUAGCAACUACAACAAGAUUUGUUGUUUAUAGUGUAACCAAGGACUUUGGAAUAACAGAAAUGAUUGCAAAAAGUCAUAAUGUUCUAUGGGAAGAUUACGCCAUUCAGUAUUCAGGGAUACCUCAUAUGGUUGUUGGUCACAAAAUUUUAGAUUGUCACCAUGGUUUUGAUAGGAAUAUUUCAGCGAAAAAUAGUUAUAAAAAAAAUAAAAAAAAUGCCAAGAUGGAUGAUCACAGCUUUCAAAAAAAUUAUGUGAUUCUGGAAGAUACAAAAAAGUUUAUGUGUUCUGCAAAGAUAGUUAUAAGAGAAAUAUUACAAUUUCCUGAUUUCAAGGUUUGAGUAAAUAAAUUAUAGGUAACAUGCCUUUUUUUAAAUUUUGUAUUGUAUGGUGGUGUGACCUAAAGCAGCCCUGAAUUGGAUUUAAGGGUCCCCUAAGGUUAGUGGAAAAAUGUAUCUUUCUAAAAAUAUGCCUUUAUUGAAAUAGGAUUAAGUCUCACUCAACUUUCUUGACUAAGUCCCUCUAUAAACCCAGAUUAGUCCUUAUUGUUUUUGUAUUAUUGUUUUAAUUUAGAUACCUAAGCAUUCAGCUUGGCACAAAAAAAAAGCAUCAAAACUAUUGAAAGAAAAAUUAAAAUUGUCAUGUUUGAAUGAAGUACCUUUUAUUCGGAAAGUUGUUGUAGCUAUUGAUGAUUUAUCAUGUCAUGAUAAACACCCUAUUGGAAAGGUAGAACUAAUUUCUCAAG